rnacentral:ncRNA from 1 species
GGGGCCCAGGGUUCAUAGGGAGGUUGGUUUUUUAAUCCUUUGGUUUUGGUUUUUCUAUCAUUGGGAAGCAAAAUUCACCAAGCGUUGGAUUGUUCACCAUGCAAAGGAAACGUGAGUUGGGUUUAGACCGUCGUGAGACAGGUUAGUUUUACCCUACUAAUGACAAAACGUUGUUGCGACAGCAUUCCUGCGUAGUACGAGAGGAACCGCAGGUACGGACCAAUGGCACAAUACUUGUUCGAGCGAACAGUGGUAUGACGCUACGUCCGUUGGAUUAUGCCUGAACGCCUCUAAGGUCGUAUCCGUGCUGGACUGCAAUGAUAAAUAAGGGGCAAUUUGCAUUGUAUGGCUUCUAAACCAUUUAAAGUUUAUAAUUUAUUUUAUAAACGACAAUGGAUGUGAUGCCAAUGUAAUUUGUAACAUAGUAAAUUAGGAGGAUCUUCGAUCACCUGAUGCCGCGCUAGUUACAUAUAAAAGCAUUAUUUAAUACAAUGACAAAGCCUAGAAUCAAUUGUAAACGACUUUUGUAACAGGCAAGGUGUUGUAAGUGGUUGAGCAGCUGCCAUACUGCGAUCCACUGAAGCUUAUCCUUUGCUUGAUGAUUCGA